CUUAAAGCACUCGUUCGCACGAACGAACUUAGACUUUUGUACUUUUUUCUUCUGAUUACUGUUUUCUUGUUUCUUGCGUUAGUUUCAAUUUCUUUGCAACGGUUUCUUAUUACUUUAUAUUGUUUGCGUGAGAGUAAUUAAAACUAAAGCUCGCUAACUGGCUGCGGAGCUGGUUUGUGUUGAAAACGGAAACGGUGAGGGUGUGUUCCAAGACAGCAUAGAAUUAAAAGAAGAAUGUGACGUAAGCGAAGAGCGAAAGUUGUAAAAUAGCGUGCUUGAGGUUAUUAAAAUUCAAAAGAAACGGUCAGCAAGGUGAGUGUAUGGCGAGACAGACAAAGUGUAAGCGGACGAUUUUUAUAUACAUAUAUUUAUGCGGCAACUGUUUGCUAAUUAAAUAAUAAAAGAAUAUUUGGUAAAUAAUAAUAAAAAAAAGUAAUAAAAUCUACACUCUGCAAGGCAAGUUUAAGGUUCUUUUCCUGAUAAAUUUGUUGCUCGAAAAUAAAAUCUCGUCAUCUAAUGAAAAAUCACUAAAACAUGUUAGAAAGACAUUAGCGAAAUUAUUUUAUGACAGGUGAAGCCAUAAAAUGUGAUAAUAAAAAAACUACAUAAAAACAAUCAAAACAAGGCAUAUGUAUGUGAAUUGUAUGUAGUUAGGGAAAAUAACGCACCCAAAAAGCUGACAACGUUAUCAGUAAAUAUUGACAUUCUGAUAUGUAACAUUAACACAGAUAAAGACGAAACGACACGUGAGACAAGUUCGUGAACUAACGGUUAUAGAGGUCAAGAGUCAAAGCCAAAUAAUAUGGAUUAGUGACCCACGUCUACGCAUGUAAAUGGAAGCAGCAAACCCUUCCAUAUUUACUUAAGUGUCUAGUGAUUUGGCCACAGUGAGUGCAAGAACAAUAUAAUUACAACCUAGUGAUUAGUAAGCAGUCGAUUAGUUUGUGACUAACGGAAUUUUUGAGGGUCACAUUUUUGACGUAAUUAAACACAAGUAAAAAAGUAAAAAGUUAUUAUAUCAUUAGAUAUAAAUGUGCGUGUGUUAGUUGGCACUAGAUUUAAUCGCAUAGCAAUACUUUGUACAAGAAACACGUCGCGUGUAGACUUACAUAUGUACAUCAAUGCAUACAGGGU